UACGGAGGUGGCAAGCGUUGUUCGGAAUUACUGGGCGUAAAGGGCGCGUAGGCGGCUUGGCAAGUCGGAUGUGAAAUCCCCGGGCUUAACUCGGGAAUUGCAUCCGAAACUGCUUUGCUUGAGUCCUGGAGGGGGUAGUGGAAUUCCCAGUGUAGCGGUGAAAUGCGUAGAUAUUGGGAGGAACACCGGUGGCGAAGGCGGCUACCUGGACAGUGACUGACGCUGAGGCGCGAAAGCUAGGGGAGCGAACGGG
rnacentral:rRNA from 1 species